AGAUGAUGAUGGUUCUCCAACUUCUAAGAGACCAAAGACCAACAAGCUACCACAGCCACCAGUUCCAGAGCCUGCUAAUGCUGGGCAACAGAAAGUGAGGAGUUCAACUUUGAUCAGAACUUGUAAUACAACCGAAGUUACUCGGCCAAGAACAAAUAAACAGUAACUCCAGCGGGCCUCCAUUGUCUCCAAGUCAACUUUCCUCCUCAUCUAUAACUCCUCCACACCAGCCCUGAACACCUGUUCACCUGGAUCUACCAUGAAAGACUUUAGAGUCCAGGAAGAGACUGACUGGGCAGCAGGUUAUUCAGGCAGGUGCCACAGUUAGCCCCAUUUUCUGAAUGAAGUGAUGAAGACUUGAUAAUGAGUGCUUCGCCCAAGCUCACAUGGAUACUAAGACUGAGUCAGAUGCAGGGCCUGGUGUGACUUUAAUGCCUGCUCUGUUCAUGAGCACCACGUAUUGCUUCUCCUAUGCAGUUAAGCA